GGGGGAUCCCGGGGUCUGCUGCUGCGGGACGAGCGGCCUCGCGGGCGGCUCCCGGUCCCCAGGUGUGCCCGACGCAUCCGCGCAGAGCACAGCCCUGCCCGUGGUCACUGCGGCCCCUUCAGGGACUGCUCUGCGUCGGAGGAGAAGUGCGACGCGCGCCCUGACGCAGCCUGCAGUGACAACCUGAUAUCCCGGCACGGUUUCAGAGUUACGAUGGUUCCUUGGCACAUGAUGGGGACUACUCCGUCAGCACAACCGCGGCACUGCGUGGCCCUCUGACGUGUCCGCCUCCAGCACACCGAGCCUUCCAUUUUGGAGAAGAGAAGGCCCCAGGGAGACCUCAUUGCGGCCUUCCAGUUCUUGAAGGGCUGAGGACCAAAGUUCAGCGGCGUUUGGACACGGCCCCCGGGCCGCAGUGCUGGAGCGGCAGAGCUGUGGGUUUGCUUUAAGCCCGGGGAGGCUUUGUCAGCAACUCAGGUGGAAACCCGGCGUCCCGCUUAGCUGAACUUCAACAUCUUGAGAAGUAGCGGGCGAGGGGUCGGCGGGGAGUUGCUGGGCUGCAAUGCCCAUGCUGUGUGACCUUCUCCUACUGCGGGUGUAUGGAUGCCCUCCCAGCAGCAUCCCCUCUACAGAACAUCCCUCCUGCUGGUCCUCCUCCAGGCAGCCUGUGUUUGUGUCAUGGCUGAGGCCAAUGUGGCCCCGCUGCUGACCCGGAGCCCCUGCCAAAGGAUGGGGUCAGCUCCUUCCUGACCCACAACGUGAAACAAAAUCUGCGAUGGGAGCAGCAGGGUGAGCAAGCCUUCUCUUAUUACCUUCAUUUCCUGGCUGCCACUGAGCUGAUGUGACGCCCUUCUAAAAACCUGCAUCCUUGGGAUGCAGAGACACUUGGGAACCCGAGCACAGCUCCAAGCCUCCUGUUCUGGCCUUGGGGUGAAGGCCAUGCCAUGAAGGCAGGCUGCUCCCAGAUGUCAGCCUGGCUGGGUGGGGGUUCUUUGGCAGAACCCAGACUUUAGGCUUUGAAACCCAUUCUUUUUAAGCCAGCCUGAGGAGGAGAUGGUCCUCCUUGUCUGUCUGCAAUCUCAGGCCCUCAGGUGUGCUCACAGGCCAUGGGUGUCCUUUUUGGCUGGGUCAGUGACUACUCCUUGUUGAGCCUUGAUUUUGCCAUCUGUGAUAAGUGAGCCACGUUCAUCUUUUCUGAAACCAGCACAGAACCACAGCUGAGAUUGAAUUUAACCCAAUUUGCUACAGGAGGGGGAGCUUAAAAGCGUGCCUGUCCCUUAGAGGACCAAAGAGGCUGGGUGCUUUUUGGGGAGCUCUGUUGUGUAAGGGAGCGGGGUCCAUGGGCUCCUGGCGUCCACCAAUGGCUGUGGCCUUCAGCUCGAUGCUGCUUGUUAAAAAUAUUGUCCCAGCUGUAUUAAUAUGACCAGACUGGAUUGCAUCUGAGCUGAACAUUGUGAGCCUAAGGCAGGACAUAAAUAUAGAAUCAAAACAGCCUGACACAAGAGUCAUCUGUCCUCUUGUGUGCGAGAAGUGAAGGGGAAGGAGGACGAGGGCAUUCUGGGGUGGUUCUGGGGCACUUCCAGGCUUUGCCCUGAGCCUCGGUCAGCCCUGCUCAGGGUCUUGGGGCACAAGGGACCCCGGCGUGCCCCUGGUCAGUCUCCAUGCCACAGGACUGUGCGCUCAGCACAUUUUUAUCCUGGGGUUACAUUUGCCUAGACAAAGUCUGCAAUCAUGAAUGACUAUUUGUUUGAUGUGUUUGCCUAACAGGAUUACCCUUAUCGUAAUGAUAGAGCAGCCCGGCCUUGGCACAGCUAAAGCCAAGGGCUGGGGAAGGGGGGGGGGGGGAGUGCGAGCCCCUGCCUCCCUUGCCCCAGAUGCAGCCUGACUCUGCUACCUUGGCAGCACCCAGACAGUGCUUUGCUGGCAUUUACUGCUCCGCUUUUGGAAGAGCACCCGUGGUGUGUGGUGCUGCCUGCUGACAUAGCGCCGGGCAUUUCUGUCUCUGCACCUGAAAAACAAAGAGAGAUAAAUCAAUCGUAUUAAAAGGUUAGAAAAAGGAUGCAGUGUUCUGCAAUGAAGACGCCUUGCCCAGGCUCCAAGUGAGAGCCUGACUGAACUCAGGGUGAAUCUGUGGCCCUCUGGUUCCGUGGGAAUCAAGCUGUAGGGAAUGGACCGAUAAGCUGCUCGCUUUCUGCAUCGUACACCGUGAACCUGCCUAAAACCAUUGCAAAAGCAUCUGUUUGUGUAUGUGUGAUUAUUCAAAUGUGCUGAUUUGAAAGGCUCAAGGCAGGCCUAGGCCGGGCCCUCCCCAGCAGUGCUCCCAGCAGCAGUGAGCCCAGCCCUGCUGAUGCCCACACCUGCUCCUGGCCGGGGACCUUCUCGCACUCACUGCUAUUGUCCCUGCCUGAAGCCAGCCUGCCCUCACCAGGUCCAGGUGCUAUUUGCAGAAGCAGAACCCACCGCCUGCUUCUUGCCGGUUCGCAAACAAGCAGGAUCCUCUAUUUAUAAUGUGCUAUAAUUGGCUCAGAUGAAACUGGUGGUUAUCAGGCUGCUGGGGCCCUCAGGGACGCUGAUGCCGCAGGGUAUGGAGGUCUGCAGUGUGAGCCGUGUGCUCACAGACCCCCGCUUUCCGGAGCACCCCCUAUUUGUCAGGGCUGUGCGGGUCUGCUUUUCUAAAUGAGGUUUGGUGACAAUGAGGCACUGCAGAGCCAGAAAGAGAGAAAUCUUCCCACCGCUCCCUGGAGAUGCUUUUCGUCAAACCCAUCAUUUCUAACCCCAAGGCUUUCGUAGCAGGGAUGUGAGCAGGGCUCUGCGGCCCCAAAACGACCCGCUCCGUCACCGGGCCUGAGCCGCUCGGGUUCGCUUCAUUUGAUGUAGCAUCUGUUUGGUCUUGAUGGGCGUGCGGCCAUCUGCAGCCCACGAGGGACCCGGCUGUUCGGACUGAAACUGCCCUGAGCUCAUAGCUGGACACAGGAUGAGCUGCCGGGCUCCGGGAAGAAGCCGUGGCUCUCUCACUUAGCAGCAGGCCCAUGUGUCGUCAUGCUGAGCCCAGGCCUGCACAUGGGCUGCUGUUGCUGUCUAAAUCCUUCUGCCGUUCGAACUGUGAAACAUGAUGGAUAUAUGGCCGAGCAGGGGGAUUAAAAAAAAAAAAAUAGUGGAUGCUUUGCAUAUCUUUGAGGGCUUAUUUUUAUUCCCGUUUGUUCGUUCUCUCAGCUCUUGGCUGCCGUCGGGUCUGCAGAAACAACAAAGGGGGGUGAGGGAAAGGCCAGCGCUUUGGGGGCUCCUCCUGUUGGUGGAGGAGCUGCAGGCAGCUCCAGCAGCACCUGCGGGCUCCAUCACGCGCAUUGGAACAGGAAAUCUGCUUGCUUUGUGUUUGAAAAAUCAGAUUGAUUUAUCAGUCAAAAGCCCUUUUUUUUUUUUUUUUGCUGUGAAGUGCUGCUUAAAAGAAAUCUUUCUCCCCCUUUCAUUUCAUAAAAGCUCACUCAGAAGUCUUCCAGCAGUGCCUGGGGCUGCUCUGCUGCCAAGAAAUCCCCCGGGUCUGUUGAUUAAGCCUCCCUGAUAUUUCCGGUUUCUCUCUAAUUGUUUUCUAAUGAAAGUUUCAAACCCGAGUCUAAUCAGGAGGUUGGGCCACAGAGAGCUCUCAGCAGGGCUCCUCGCUGGGGUGUUUCUUCUCCUAAAUCAGUAGCUGCCUCCUGCGCGGGGACGAGAAGGUGAUUUUCUGCACGUAAAGACGCCCACAGUGCAGGUGGCAGUGGCUCCAACUGCAGGGUUCUGCGCUAACAUCGCUUUGUGCAGCUCUCCAUUGCUUUUGCCACCGAAAUUACCGUUGCAGUCUGAUCAGGUUUGCCCGUUCGUUUGUCUUUUUGUGGGUUUGUCUUUUUGAGGGAUUGCGGCGUGGUUAUCCCCGCCUGAAUUCCCCGGUGCUUCUACUCUAUUGCCUGCAUCCCCGUGGCGUUCUUUGCUUCCCGCUGUGCCUCCGGCCCAGAAAACAGAGACACAGGAGAGCUAAAAAGGUUACGUAAAGAGCAGACGAAAUGGGUGACAAAGCCAAAAUAGCUGUAAACAGGAGCCUGGUAUAAAUAGAGAGCUGAGGAACACCCGAGCCCGGCUGCUGCGUGGCAGAAAGGUCGGCUCCGCUCCCUGACCUGUCCUGUGAUCCUGAGCAACACGUGGGGGCUGUGGCACCCGGGCACGGCCUCGGGCUCCUUCCUUAUAAAUGUCACAGCAAUGGGAUGGGGCAGGAAGGGUUGUGAGGGUGAGUUCUGUGCAGCUCCAGGGGGGGGAUUUUGUGCAAGCGACAGAACUUCCCUGCAUUUCAUGCAGUUCAUGCUAAGACAGGCUGCUCUUGCAACCCACGUGCUUUACGGAGCAGAAAAGACCUACGGCUUGGCCAGCAUUCAAGCACCUUUCUCUGUCGUCCUUGUGAUGUGUCAGAUAAGGGUUCAAGGUCUUUGGUUGCUUGCAUAGAACAAAAGCAGCUUUUCUUAAGUUGCUGCUGCCAUCCGUGGGCUCAGAUAAGAGGAGUGGUUGGGGGGGUACCACACUGUGUGCUGUGUGCUGUGUGCUGUGUGGUAAGGCCCCCCAUGGGUCCCAGCACGUGCCUGUGGCUGUGCCCAUGCUGCUGUGCUCCGUGGGGUCGUGGCCGAGUGGGGAGAUGGGGACAGCAGGCUGCUCCUGUGCUCAUGCUCAGGGUGAUGUCAUGUUCUGGGGUCCCCAGUAAAGAGAUGCUCUAAUUUGCACUCUACCGCAAAAUAAUCAUUUUAAUUACCCUACCCUAAACGCUGGAAUUUUUUCUGCCUUUUUAAUACAUGUAAGGAUCGUUUUCUUAAGCCAUCUGAAGCCGGGAUAUCCAGCAGCUCGCUUUUGUCACAUGAGGACCGCGCUAUAACCACCGGCGCUCCUUCAGCAGCCUUCAGCUCCUCCCGAGGUCUGCUCCGACCUGCCUUGCUGCGGCAGCAGUGCAUCAGCAGCCGAAGGUUACCCCCUGCAGUAAAUCUGAGGCUACUGCAGGUGUAGCGCGAGCCGGAUUGCAUUUAUUGGUGUGGAUCAAUGGCUCUCAUGCUGCCUUGUCUUAUCACUGUCGGACUGUGUAAAAAUUUGGUCCUCCUCUUGCUUGUAAGAGCCUUUCUUUGGAAAACUGAGCUCCUGGGCGAAGUGGCAGCCUUGGGCAUCACCCACGCCAGGGUCUGCCCAUGCUUCGGGAGCAUCUGUCCCAGCAGACCUGACACAACCUGCCCCAUCUUGGCACUGCAGCAAGGCUUGCCUGUCCCACCAAGAGUGGGGCUCAGAGCUUUGUGCCCCCAACACAUGCAGACCCCCACUCAGUGGGAUGCUAUGCUGGCAUGGCCCUCUGCACGGCCCAGUCCGUGUGUUCUCAUGCAAAAUGCAAUAAAUUCAGCAUUUUCAGGAACUUGGCUUAAUCAGGGUUUUCAAUCUUCUCCUUCGUUGCCUCCUAAUGUACCCUCCUAACAAUGAACUCCGGGUGUUGGGAGAGCGCCAAAUGCAGGGCAAAAGACUUUGUUUUUCUUUCCCAUAAUUAAAUGUCAUGUUCACUGCUGUCUCUCCUGCUUUAUUAAGUGUCCUGGCAUGGUCUAACACACCCGUUGGUGGAUUUCCAUAGGGUCUGUUCGGAGCCCACCUCCUGCUUAGCUCACAUGGAGCAGACGCGGGGCCCUAAGAGGGAGGAAGCAGCUUUCUAAUGCUAUCCUGGGAAAAACAAGCCUGCAAAACCUCUCCCCUGCCCCCACAUGUACUGUGACAAAUACAUUCUGUGCCACCAGGUGCUGUGACAAGGCGUGGUGGGAGGGGAGAGCUGGUGGGGCGAGCUGAGAUGGGGCUGUUGCUCUCCAGCCCUCCGAGCCCAAAGGCACCUCAUCUCCCUUGGGGUGACCUGCCUGGGGGAUGCCCUGCCUCUGCCUUCCCCACCUCCUCCCGCAUCCUUCUUUGCUUUGGAUAAACAGCCCUGAAAAGGGAGCCUUUGUUUCCAGCCGCAUCAGGGGAAUGGCUCCUAGUGGCACCGAUAACCCUGUUUGCAAACAAGAGGGCAGGCCUGACUACAGACAGGAGGCUCACAAUGAGUUGUUUCUCUUGCUUUCGGCACUUUGCCGUGUGAGAUGUGUGACCGACUGCACGUGAGGAGCCUGAGCAUUGGCCUGCCUGGGAGCUCAGCCCUCGGUGACAGUGGGGUCCUCCCAGUUUGUGCACGUCUGUGUCUGGGCCACAGAGACCCCUGCGUCCCCAGGUGGCCAAUAGAUGUGGGUUUUCUUUGUUCUUGGGUUGCCUGCUGAAGACCUGAACAUCACAGAAGCAUGGGAUCAUGAAGGCUGGAAAGGACCUCUAAGAUCACCCAGUCCAACCAUCCGCCCAUCCCACCAUGCCCACUGACCACGUCUUUCAGUGCCACAUCUCCACGGUUCUUGAACACCCCUGGGGACAGUGACACCCCCACCUCCCCGGGCAGCUGUGCCAAUGCCUCACCGCUCUUUCUGAGAGGAGACUUUUCCCAUUAUCCAACCUGAAUCUGGUGGACAGAAGUGCCACGUGCAUCUGUACAGCAGUGUUGGGACAGCUGACCAACACUGGGGUUGGCUAACGUGGGCUUCAGGCUUGUGCAACAGCUGGGAGAGGGCAGUCAGCCCAGCGCAAGGAAAAGCAAUGCUCAGCAAGAUCAGGCUGGGGUGUGUGUGCUUUUAUUUCUACCUUUGGCUGAAAACUGUUGGCUAAAAUGCGAAUAAAAAGUGCUGCUGUUAUUUUUUCAGCCUGUUCAAACUGCCACGAAAAAUACGACCAUUCUGUUCUUUUAUAACCUCUUAUAAGCCCUCAUUUUUAGCUUGCACUCCCCGGAUCCCAUAAAAUAAAUGGGCAGAAACACCAUAAAAAUGAACAAAAUCCUCAAACACGGCCAGUUCAUAUUCCAAGUGUCUUAUUAAAUGCUUAUUUAAAAAAAAAUAUAUAUAUCCCUCUCCUUACAUAAAUAUGUGAUUGUUUAUAAAUCUGUAACUAAUUUUAAACUAUUGGAAACGGCUUCACAGUGGAACGACCCUAUAGCAACAGAGCUCUGCACUGGGAUUCCAGCUGACUGUACUAAAGGACGAGAGCACAGCAGAUGUGAGGUACCUGCAUUUGAACAUGAUCAGAAAAGUUUUGCCUAGAAAACUCAUAGGUUUCUGGGAAAAAAAACCCCACUCAAGUCAGAGUUCAUUUAUUCCAUGUGUUUGGCUUUAACUGAUACACAAAUGCAUAUCCCCACAUGCUCCCAGUUGUCACAGAGCCAGCUCCUCUCUCCCAUCCCAAAAGCCCAUGUGCUCUUUGCACUGACAGGCUGAGAACAGCACUCUGGAGCAGAUCUGCAGGAGCGGGGCCAGCCCCAAACAGGCUGGCAUGGCUUCAGCUGCUCUGAAUGUGAAUUGCACCCAUCUAGGCCAGGGCUGGAACGUGCCUGUGGGAGCAGAGC
ensembl:lncRNA